AGGAGUUCACCAGGGGCGUGCAACUGGUUCCCAGUUGGGCGCUGGGACUGGAUUGGAAGCCCUGCACAUCUCCUGGGGGGGCUGUGUGAGGAGGGGUGGCAGCCCUGGCACACAGAGCCCAGCUGUGCCAUCCUCCUGUCCCCCCAGGCGUGGGGCUGAGAUGCUCUGCCUUCAUCCCCCAGGCUCUGGGGUGGGAUGUUGUAACAUAAAGCUGCUCGUUGGGACCCGAACGGGGAACCGAGCUGACCACCAACAAUGUACAACUCCUCAAUGUUUUUUGUCAAAAGGAAAGAAAAAUAAAACCUUGUUGUAAAGAA